UCCGGUUUGGCACCGGCAGUCUCCCUAGAGUUCCCGGCAUGACCCGCUGGCAACUAAGGAUAGGGGUUGCGCUCGUUGCGCCACUUAAGGCAACACCUCACGGCACGAGCUGACGACAGCCAUGCACCACCUGUGCAGGCUCCGUAGAGCACCCGCUUUCACGGGUUUCACCCUGCAUGUCAAGCCCAGGUAAGGUGGGGAUGACGUUUCUAGGAGGGUG
rnacentral:misc_RNA from 1 species